rnacentral:rRNA from 1 species
CGGACGGGCGAGUAAUGUCUGGGAAACUGCCCGAUGGAGGGGGAUAACUACUGGAAACGGUAGCUAAUACCGCAUAACGUCGCAAGACCAAAGAGGGGGACCUUCGGGCCUCUUGCCAUCGGAUGUGCCCAGAUGGGAUUAGCUAGUAGGUGGGGUAACGGCUCACCUAGGCGACGAUCCCUAGCUGGUCUGAGAGGAUGACCAGCCACACUGGAACUGAGACACGGUCCAG